GGGGGCGUAUUUGGCUUCGACGGGGGUAAGUUGGACUUGAGCAGCGAGUCGAAGGUUUCCGGGCCUGCGUUAAAAAACUGGGAAUUAAAUAUAAACGCAAAUAACGAAGAUAAUUUAGCUUUAGCAGCUUAGUCUGCUAGCCGUCCUUCCUUUGAGUCCCGCGGCUUAGGAUAGGGCGUCGAUAGCGGGGAAACGAGCCUCACAAAGCUUUGAGUGAGGAACGGAAUUUAUGAAGCUACUGAAACUGAAAGCCUGUUUGUAGGCGUUCAGCAGAGGGAAAUUUAAAAUACAAACUGCACUCGGAGAUACUCAGGUGUUUCUACUUUCGGACAGGGGUUCGACACCCCUCGCCUCCACCA
rnacentral:tmRNA from 1 species